AAUUUCAGGAAGAAGCAUGCAAUUUUUGGUAAUUCAAUGAAAUAUAAAGAUGAAUCAAAAGUCCGGUAUAGAAUGCAUCAUCCAUUGGUUCUGGAUUUAACAUACAAAAUCCGUAAAAGAAUUGAAAUGUUCUGAAGCUUGAAUCUCUCUCAUGCAGUUAUUCUGUCGGAUGAAGUGGCAUUUCAAAUUUGCUCACUCAGAUUUGGGACAUUAGUCUCAUUCUGAAGCACACCAAUGCUUCCAGAACUACCAGCAUGCUGUAAUGAAAGGUACCGCCAUGAGACUUGAAGAGGUAUCUGACUUUGUCCCAAAAUCUAUCUGAAUAAGAACAACGGACAAACAGAAAGAUAAGGAGAAGAAAGAGGAAACAAAAGCUAAAAGGUUCACCUUAACUUUCCCGGCAUUUUCGUCAUCUUCUUUUUUGUCUUCAAAUUCAAAGGCAACAGUCAUGCGUUGUUGUCUCUGCUCUUCCCACAGUGUAGGGUUAAAGCUGUCACUGUCUGACUGGAAAUCUACAGUUAGAUUCCAAAGUAUUAUCGCUUUUUUAAAAAACAAUUUUACACAAAGUAUUUAAUACAGUAUGCAAAAAUGGUGAUAGAUACUACAAACAAAUACAGAAAUAAAGAAGAAAGAAAGAAAGAAAAAAAGAAAGAGAAAGAAGGAAAGAGAAAUAAAAGAAUAAAAUUCCCUUGAUAUUUAUUA
rnacentral:antisense_RNA from 1 species